rnacentral:lncRNA from 1 species
UAAUGAAAGUUCCAUUCACUUGUUCAUUCUACAGAUAUAAGUGGAGCACCUGUUAUGAGCCCAGCAGCACAAGGGUAACCAGGAGAGUUCCCGUCCAGAAGUUACUGAUACCGCAGGAAGGAGCUGACGGUGGAGAGGAGGAACAGAGAGGAGUGUGGGCUGCGGGAUGCACGCGCGCGCGCGCGCGCGCGCGCACACACA